CUAGACAGAUAGUUGUUUGUGUAUGGACAUUAUACCGAAGGGUUUAGAUCUUUAGUCAAGUUGCUGUGAGCAUUAAUAGAGUGUGUAACUCUUAUAAAUUGAUUAGUGAUGUGAUAAAUUAGUCGUUAAACUGUAUAUCUGUUUUAAGCUUUUACUUGUAAUAUAGUUUAUUGGCGAGGAGGUCGAUAAAUAGGUUAUAAAUUUAUAUACUAGAUGUAAUAAAGUGAGGUUAAAGUUACCUUUAUUUUGUGAGUAUGUUAAUAUACUGUUGUUAGUUUAGUAGAUUUUAAAUUUAAUUAGCUUAAAUUAUAAUAGUAAGAGGUAUAUAAUUGUUUAAUAAGUAAUACUAUUAGCUUUUUUGUUUCUCAGCAUAAUUCCGUCUGUUUAUCAAAAACAUUGUCAUAAAACUGAAUUAUUUAUGAUAGUACCUGCUCUAUGUUGUAAAAUAAAUGGCCGCAGUAUAUUGACUGUGCGAAGGUAGCAUAAUUAAUUGCCUUCUAAUUAGAGGCUUGUUUGAAUGGUUUGACGUGACUUAUUGUAACAUGAAAGCUUUUAUUGAAAUUAAUGUUGUGGGCACAGAUUCCGCAGGAGUUAAUUAGACGGAAAGACCCUAGGAUCUUGCAUUUUGCUUGGGGCCAGUGUGGAUAUUUUAUUCAUUUUGUGAUCCUAUUGGAUUAAAGAUUUAAGUUACCCUAGGGAUAACAGUGUUAUAACUUAUUAGAGUUCUUAUCGAUUAAGUUGUUUGCUACCUCGAUGUUGACUUGGGUUUAUACUUUGGCGCAGUAGUUGAAGUUUGUGGUCUGUUCGACCUUAUGUACCCCCAUGAGUUGAGUUAAGACCGGCGUGA
rnacentral:rRNA from 1 species